rnacentral:rRNA from 1 species
AUGGAGAAAGCUGCGGGCAAUCAGGCAGGGAAAGUCUUGAAGAAGGGAAAGAAGAAACAGGCGAAAGAUGAGCUGGACCGCCAGAAGCAGGCUGAGAAGAAGAGGCGUCGGCUAGAGAAAGCGCUUGCAAACUCUGCUGCCAUCAUUUCAGAGCUAGAGAAGAAGAAGCAGAAGAAGAAAGAGGAACAGGAAAGGCUGGACGAGGAAGGCGCUUCGAUAGCCGAAGCAGUUGCUCUUCAUGUUCUCAUAGGUGAGGACUCCGAUGAAUCCCGCCAUCUGGUGCUGAACAAGCACAGAAGAUGCAACGACUGGGACCCCUCGGCUGGUUUGGAUUUCACUCUGGACACGCAAGGCGCAGCUGAUAUCUACUCCCCUGGUGGACUCAUGUGCGGCAAUCAAGCUUAUGCUUCCAGCGGGAGGUGGAUCGACUGGGGGAACGCUCAUCCCCUGCCAACCUGGGGAGAAGUGAGGGACCUGAAAGCGUCCUACUACCAAGGAACGCUCCACCAGUCAACAGUCGCCUGCCCAGGCUACAUGGCUGCCCAGGCCGUCUCAUCGCUGCAGAUCCGAGAAGACUCAUCCUCUCCAGGCCAGGGAGUCGCCGCCGCGACCGUCGUUAAUAGGAUGCUCGGCGGAACCAACAGGCUCAACCUUUACAGGGAGAUAUGA